rnacentral:rRNA from 1 species
UACGUAGGGUGCAGGCGUUAAUCGGAAUUACUGGGCGUAGAGCGUGCGCAGGCGGUUUGCUAAGACAGGUGUGAAAUCCCCGGGCUUAACCUGGGAACUGCGCUUGUAACUGGCAAGCUGGAGUGUGGCAGAGGGGGGUGGAAUUCCACGUGUAGCAGUGAAAUGCGUAGAGAUGUGGAGGAACACCGAUGGCGAAGGCAGCCCCCUGGGCUAACACUGACGCUCAUGCACGAAAGCGUGGGGAGCAAACAGG